rnacentral:lncRNA from 1 species
GACAAGUGACUUUACACUGCUUACUCUCUCCUCUGGAAUAAGUUUAAUUUCACUCAUUUUAUGGCAUCUCACAUGGCUGAACUUUCAUACCUGAAGAGAUCAGUUUUGUAUCCAGAUGCAAUUUGGAUUAUUCUUUUGGCCUAGAGUAUUUAGCUUUUAUCUCUUUAAUGUGAUGAUUAAUGAACAUUUGCAAGAAGUUGUAUUUUCUUUUUCCA